rnacentral:rRNA from 1 species
UACGAAGGGGGCUAGCGUUGCUCGGAAUCACUGAGCGUAAAGGGUGCGUAGGCGGGUCUUUAAGUCAGGGGUGAAAUCCUGGAGCUCAACUCCAGAACUGCCUUUGAUACUGAAGAUCUUGAGUCCGGGAGAGGUGAGUGGAACUGCGAGUGUAGAGGUGAAAUUCGUAGAUAUUCGCAAGAACACCAGUGGCGAAGGCGGCUCACUGGCCCGGUACUGACGCUGAGACGCGAAAGCGUGGGGAGCAAACAGG